CAGCCCUCAGUUCCACGGGAGCCACAAAGCAGACAGGGAAACAUGGGUCCGAAGCUGCUUGAGUCCCGACUUUGUCUCCUGCUGCUGCUAGGACUUGUCCUAAUGCUUGCCUCAUGCCUGGGUCAAACCCCUUCCCAGAAGUUUGCCAUCCAGCAUAUCAAUAAUAAUGCCAACCUCCAAUGUAAUUGAAAUGCUGCGUAUUAACAGGGCUAGAGUAACAUGUAAGGGCUUAAAUACUUUUCUUC
rnacentral:lncRNA from 1 species